rnacentral:rRNA from 1 species
AGAGUUUGAUCCUGGCUCAGGACGAACGCUGGCGGCAUGCCUAAUACAUGCAAGUCGAACGAGCUGACGGAGUGCUUGCACUCCCGACGCGAGUGGCGGACGGGUGAGUAACACGUGGGAAACCUACCUGUAAGUAGGGGAUAACAUUCGGAAACGAAUGNUAAUACCCUAUAGAUUUCAGUUCCGCAUGGAACUGAAAGGAAAGACGGCUUUGCUGUCGCUUACAGAUGGUCCCGCGGCGCAUUAGCUAGUUGGUGGGAUAAAAGCUCANNAAGGCUGUGAUGCGUAGCCGACCUGAGAGGGUAACCGGCCACACUGGGACUGAGACACGGCCCAGACUCCUACGGGAGGCAGCAGUAGGGAAUCUUCCGCAAUGGACGAAAGUCUGACGGAGCAAUGCCGCGUGAAUGAAGAAGGUCUUCGGAUCGUAAAAUUCUGUUGUUAGAGAAGAACAAGGAGUAAGUAACUACUACUCCCUUGACGGUAUCUAACCAGAAAGCCACGGCUAACUACGUGCCAGCAGCCGCGGUAAUACGUAGGUGGCAAGCGUUGUCCGGAUUUAUUGGGCGUAAAGGGAGCGCAGGCGGUGACUUAAGUCUGAUGUGAAAGCCCACGGCUCAACCGUGGAAGGUCAUUGGAAACUGGGUCACUUGAAUAUAGAAGAGGAAAGUGGAAUUCCAUGUGUAGCGGUGAAAUGCGUAGAUAUAUGGAGGAACACCAGUGGCGAAGGCGACUUUCUGGUCUAUUAUUGACGCUGAGGCUCGAAAGCAUGGGUAGCAAACAGAGAUUAGAUACCCUGGUAGUCCAUGCCGUAAACGAUGAGUGCUAGGUGUUGGGGGGCUUCCACCCCUCGGUGCCGGCGUUAACGCAUUAAGCACUCCGCCUGGGGAGUACGGCCGCAAGGCUUAAACUCAAAGGAAUUGACGGGGACCCGCACAAGCGGUGGAGCAUGUGGUUUAAUUCGAAGCAACGCGAAGAACCUUACCAGCUCUUGACAUCUUUUGCCAACUCUAGAGAUAGAGUGUUCCCUUCGGGGACAGAAUGACAGGUGGUGCAUGGUUGUCGUCAGCUCGUGUCGUGAGAUGUUGGGUUAAGUCCCGUAACGAGCGCAACCCUUGUUGUCAGUUGCCACCACCCUGGGUGGGCACUCAGGCGGGACCGCCGGUGACAAACCGGAGGAAGGUGGGGAGGACGUCAAGUCAUCAUGGUCCUUAUGUCCUGGGCUACACACGUGCUACAAUGGCCGGUACAGAGCGCAGCGAGGCCGCGAGGCCGAGCGAAUCGCCCAAAGCCGGUCCCAGUACGGAUUGGAGUCUGCAACUCGACUCCAUGAAGUUGGAAUCGCUAGUAAUCACGCAUCAGCAUGGCGUGGUGA